AUGCAAAUGACCUGCGGGCAGCGGCGCCAAUCGGCGGCUCCGCCGGGGAGCGGCUCCGCCAGUGAAACGCGAGCGGGGCGGGGAGCAGGCAGCGCCGCGCGGGGCGGGGCGGGGCGGGGCGGGGGCACAGGAAGGGAGGGGGCGGCGGCCGGGCGCGGGGAAGCGAGGACAGGCCGGGAGCGCCGGCUGCCCGAGCGGCCGCGCUUCCAUGCGCUUGCAAAGCGGCGCAGAAGCGAGCGCUUCCCGGGGCCGUCCCGCCGGGCGCGCAGGCUGCCCGCUCCGCGCGGAGGCGCUGUGCCGGGGGCGGGAGCAGGCCGCUCCCCGUGGGGGCACAGCGCAGCCCCGGCGGGAGCAGCGCACCGCACGGCCCGGCCGGGCGUCAGGCGCCGGCACCAACGCGGGGAAAUAGAGAUGCCCUUGUGGCCUUCUCCUUCCGUCCACGCCAUCUCCGCUUUCAGGAGCCCUUCAGAAAGGGGCUCGAGUUUUUCCCCGCUUUUCUUUCAGUUCCCCUGCUCGGCGGCGGAGCGGAGCUGCCGGCUCCCCCGGGGACUUCGCACCGGCGAGGCCCCCCCGCGGGGUCACCGCGUGAAUGGGGGAUUGUGCAGGCGGCCACGACACCGGCGUGCGGGUCCUGAAAGGCGUCUUUAUGAGGCAGUUUACACAGCCCCGACCUUGGACCGUGAGCUGGGCAUGAAACGGAGGCGCCUGCUUCAUCGCUCCCUGCCCUCCGCCCAGGCGGUGGCCCUCCCCGGAGCGGCGGCUGGGGGCGGGCUGCGCGGGCCGAGGGCGCCGCCUGCCGGCGCGGUGCGGAACGGUGCGGUGCGGAGCGGAGCGGAGCGAGCAGCCCCGGGCACGGCCCCGCGGGAGGCGAGCGGGCGGCGGCAGGAGCCCUGCGGCCCCCUUCGGUCAUCGCGUUCUUCCGAUUCGGCAUUUAAAUAUACAGGUCCUUUCGUUUGGUUGCUUUUAACGUCUUUUGGCAAGACGGAAACGCUGCAAAGACCACAAACAAGACCCCUGCUAUUUAUGGCCAUCAAACCAUAA
rnacentral:lncRNA from 1 species